GACGAACGCUGGCGGCGUGCCUAAUACAUGCAAGUAGAACGCUGAAGAGAGGAGCUUGCUCUUCUUGGAUGAGUUGCGAACGGGUGAGUAACGCGUAGGUAACCUGCCUUGUAGCGGGGGAUAACUAUUGGAAACGAUAGCUAAUACCGCAUAACAAUGGAUGACACAUGUCAUUUAUUUGAAAGGGGCAAUUGCUCCACUACAAGAUGGACCUGCGUUGUAUUAGCUAGUAGGUGAGGUAAUGGCUCACCUAGGCGACGAUACAUAGCCGACCUGAGAGGGUGAUCGGCCAGACUGGGACUGAGACACGGCCCAGACUCCUACGGGAGGCAGCAGUAGGGAAUCUUCGGCAAUGGGGGCAACCCUGACCGAGCAACGCCGCGUGAGUGAAGAAGGUUUUCGGAUCGUAAAGCUCUGUUGUAAGUCAAGAACGGGUGUGAGAGUGGAAAGUUCACACUGUGACGGUAGCUUACCAGAAAGGGACGGCUAACUACGUG
rnacentral:rRNA from 1 species